GACGUAGGGCGCGAGCGUUGUCCGGAUUUAUUGGGCGUAAAGAGCUCGUAGGCGGCUUGUCGCGUCGACUGUGAAAUCCCGCGGCUCAACCGCGGGUCUGCAGUCGAUACGGGCAGGCUAGAGUUCGGUAGGGGAGACUGGAAUUCCUGGUGUAGCGGUGAAAUGCGCAGAUAUCUGGAGGAAUACCGGUGGCGAAGGCGGCAUCCUGGACCGACAUUGACGCUGAGGAGCGAAAGCUAGGGGAGCAAACGGG
rnacentral:rRNA from 1 species